AGACACGGCCCAGACUCCUACGGGAGGCAGCAGUAGGGAAUCUUCCGCAAUGGACGAAAGUCUGACGGAGCAACGCCGCGUGAGUGAUGAAGGUUUUCGGAUCGUAAAACUCUGUUGUUAGGGAAGAACAAGUGCGAGAGUAACUGCUCGCACCUGACG
rnacentral:rRNA from 1 species